rnacentral:rRNA from 1 species
GACGAACGCUGGCGGCGCGCUUAACACAUGCAAGUCGAACGGAAAGGCCUGCUUUCCCUUGUGGAUUGCGGGUACUCGAGUGGCGAACGGGUGAGUAACACGUGAGUGAUCUGCCCCCAACUUGGGUAUAAGCCUGGGAAACUGGGUCUAAUUCCCGAUAGGACUGCAGGGUGGUGCCUGUGGUGGAAAACGAUUUUCUAGUGGUUGGGGAUGAGCUCGCGGCCUAUCAGCUUGUUGGUGGGGUAAUGGCCUACCAAGGCGGCGACGGGUAGCCGGCCUGAGAGGGUGGACGGCCACAUUGGGACUGGGAUACGGCCCAGACUCCUACGGGAGGCAGCAGUGGGGAAUAUUGCCCAAUGGGCGGAAGCCUGAUGCAGCGACGCCGCGUGGGGGAUGACGGCCUUCGGGUUGUAAACUCCUUUCGACCGCGAGGAAGCCACCUGGUUGGAAGGGUGGUGACGGUAGUGGUAGAAGAAGCACCGGCUAACUACGUG